rnacentral:rRNA from 1 species
AUAUUAUUAAGCGGAGGAAAAGAAACUAACAAGGAUGCCCUCAGUAACGGCGAGUGAAGCGGGCAAAGCUCAACCUGAAAAUCGGAUAUCCAAGCGGGUGUUCGAAUUGUGGGCUAGAGACGCAUGAUCAGUGUGUGACCUAGGUAUAAAUCUUUUGAAACAAGGUAUCAUAGAGGGUGAGAAUCCCGUCUUUGACCUAGAGUUUCGCCACGUACGAUCUGUGUUCACAGAGUCGAGUUGUUUGGGAUUGCAGCUCUAAUUGGGUGGUAAAUUUCAUCUAAAGCUAAAUAUCGACGAGAGACCGAUAGCGAACAAGUACCGUGAGGGAAAGAUGAAAAGAACUUUGAAAAGAGAGUUAAAAAGUACUUGAAAUUGCUAAGAGGGAAGCACUGGAAACCAGUCGUUGACCUGCGUAGAUUUUUACCAUUCGCUCCCGGACUGUGCUAUGUGUUUGGAGCCCAAAGCCCAGCAUGUGGUAUAGAGAUGGUGUGAGUGGGUCCUGUCUUGUAGGUCGGAUCAGAAUCAAUUUGAUUCGUGAGAGAAAGCUAUGGCAACGGUAGUUCUAUAGGGGGCAACUCUUAUGGAAUGUUUAGUGCUGUAGUGCUAUCAUGGAUUGGAUUGAGGUA